UGGGAUCUUAGCUCAGCUGGGAGAGCAUCUGCCUUACAAGCAGAGGGUCAUAGGUUCGAGUCCUAUAGGUCCCAU
rnacentral:tRNA from 3 species